rnacentral:rRNA from 1 species
GAUAAACGCUGGCGGCGUGCAUAACACAUGCAAGUCGAACGAUGAACCUUAUUUGAUUUCUUCGGAAUGAAAAUAAGUGGAUUAGUGGCGAACGGGUGAGUAACACGUGAGUAACCUGCCUUACACAAGGGGAUAGCCUUUGGAAACGAAGAAUAAUACCCUAUAACGUCAAAAUAUCGCAUGAUAAAGUGACCAAAGAUUUAUCGGUGUAAGAUGGACUUGCGUCUGAUUAGCUAGUUGGUGAGAUAAAAGCCCACCAAGGCGACGAUCAGUAGCCGGCUUGAGAGAGUGUACGGCCACAUUGGGACUGAGACACGGCCCAAACUCCUACGGGAGGCAGCAGUGGGGAAUUUUGCACAAUGGGGGAAACCCUGAUGCAGCGACGCCGCGUGAUUUAGAAGGCCUUCGGGUUGUAAAAAUCUUUUUUAUGGGAUGAAAAUGACAGUACCAUAAGAAUAAGGUCCGGCUAAAUACGUGCCAGCAGCCGCGGUAAUACGUAUGGACCGAGCGUUGUCCGGAAUCAUUGGGCGUAAAGGGUACGUAGGCGGCCUAGUAAGUUAGAAGUGAAAUAAUAUAGCUCAACUAUAUAAAGCUUUUAAAACUGUUAGGCUUGAGAGAUGAAAGGGAAAGUGGAAUUCCUAGUGUAGCGGUGAAAUGCGCAGAUAUUAGGAAGAAUACCGGUGGCGAAGGCGACUUUCUGGUCAUCAUCUGACGCUGAGGUACGAAAGCGUGGGUAGCAAACAGG